GUCCGCUCUCGAGUGAAAUAGAAGCUUGGUUUUGCCUUUGCUGAGUGAAACAGAACUUCGGUUUUGCCUUUGCUGGUAAGUAAGCAGCAAUUGUAACUGCAGUAAUAUGACAUUGUCACUGUGUAACAUGUUUAGCAAUUUACCUAACGUAGUUUGGUUUUUGUGACAUUACCAUUUACUGAUGGGCAAAAACAAAUGGUCAGAAUUUAUACCUUGUAGCAGCAAAGUCCCCACACAUGACCUCUGACUGUCCCUGAAGUUUAA